rnacentral:lncRNA from 1 species
UUUCUGGAGCUUCAUAAGGCAUCCAUGCUCGCUGAUCUUUGGGAAGGCCCUCAUAUAGAGUUUGGGAAAAUCGGCUGAUCUGCUCUUCAUUGCCACCAGUACCAGGUAGGACUAUAGCAGCCUCACCAUAGUUUAAGGGUGGGCGAGUUGCCGAUUCUUCAUCAGCCAAUUCAUGAUCUUCAGCGAUAUCUCUAGGAAAGUGCUGUGCGAAGAGGUCAAAUCCAAGGCGUUUGUGCAUGUGAACACUGAGCCACAUGUUGAUGAACCACCAAGGUCCCGCUAAGUUGCCGAUGGGUUGGCCUAACAGAAGCUUCUCGGCUACUUGAUGAAGGAGAUCAUAAACAAAGCCUAGCAAGUAUCGGCCAAGGGGGAAGCGACCACCGCUGGCUAGUUUCUCUGUUGCCGAUAGAUAUACAGAAGUUGGUCUUACUGAUCGGCCGCAAAAUAUAAAUUUAUCUAGCCACAUGUUCAGAAAGAUGGCAUCUUCCCUUGGCCCAACUGGUCCUGUUUUCCGAUGCUUCUGAAUAUACCCUGACCAACCGCCGAUGUUGCGGGUUUCCGCUUUACGUUCAGGCUUACGAUCGACAGGUGGCUAUCAUCGGCAGUUGCUAUUUCCAGACUAGUGAGCAUAAGUACAUCGGCAAGGGUAGGAGAAGCAGGGCCAUGGCCAAACAUGAAAGCAUUGAGGGUGUUUGACCAGAAAUACGAAGCUGCUAUCAACAGUGAUUCGUUUCUCUCCAUAUCAGCAAUGGAUAGCCUAAUGCACUGGUCUGGUUUACGUUCACCCCAUUGACGAUUCUCAGGAACCAGUCUUUCCACCUCUUAGUAGAACUGGGCUAGGAUUGAAAGGUGUCUUUCCACAGAUCUAAUCAGAAGUUCUCAGCUCUAAAGGGGAUCCUAUUUGUUUCUGCAUUUAUCAAAUCGGUAGGAUCUGGAUUCCCCAAUGGACCAAGGCAUUGAAAGUGGGGUUGAUCGGUGGGAAUCACAAUUUUAUCAGCCAAUUCCUAAAAGGUUUAAAGGUUGAAAGAACAAAAAAACAAAGACGAGAAAGAAUGUAUUGUUGACGGUUCUUAAGUAUCAAUUUUAAUUAUCAAAUAAACAAGAGAAAGGACCAAUGUGCAAACAACACCUAGAAUUAGGGUUUGAUCUGACAGAAUUCCACGAGUUUUGUUGUUUAUGUGUUUCUGCAGGGGGUUAUCAGGAAAUAAGAAAGAAAGGCCCACAUGUCGGGAUUACAUAGAGAUAUUAACGCACCGCGCAAUUUUCUACCAUCUAGAAGACACCAGAAGCCACGGGAACGAACGAGAAGGCAAUCGGGCCCGGGGGCUGGGCGGCCGCCCACCCCCUAGGGUGGCCGCCCAAGAGUUCUGCCCAAUCACGUCCAAACUCACGGAUCAAGAUCCACCGACCUAAAGGAUCAAGGAUAACCGUUCAAUCAAUGUCGGUUUGAUCCAACGGCCCACGUUUACCUGAGGAGACUAUAAAACCAGACACCCUGGCCCCUGGAGGAUAAGAGGUUCAUCAUAGAGUUGAGAGGAGCCCUCGAAGGAAUACCUCUCCUCUAAAUAGACUUAGGGCUUAGCAUCCAAUGUGAGUAGCAUUAGAUCUUCUAGUUUCUACUAGACUGAGAGAGAUAGAGUGGAGGUGUAGAUCGGAGGAAGCCCGGCCUGUCGGUGUCUACUCUGAGGUUGUACCUGCGGUAUCAAGUUCUCCUAACCCGAAGCUUGCUCCUAGGAUUCUUCAGUAUUUUGACUUCUAAAUUCUAGUAAGUUCUUGUUUUAUUGUUCUUUGGUUUAUGAGUUUACUUUAAUCUCUUCGCGUAGAGUUUAGAGUAAUCAUCUCAAGCGUAGACGUGGUGUUUGGGCUAGGAUACUCAUAGAUAUUCCCUGACUAGCUAGACCGUGGUAGUAGCGAGGAACGUGAUAUUUCCGAGUUACCUUUGCAAACCAUAUCUCGUUAGCAGGAAGGAUAGGGUUUAUAGGUGCGGGUUGAACAUCCUCUGUGGUGUCUAGAUUCCGUAAGCUUCUCCAAUAGAACAGUAGAUCAUCCUUACCAAGGUUAGAAAGAGAUUACGGUUGUAGUCUUCUUUGUAGCCUAAAAGUUUAGUAGUAAUAGACUGGGUUAGUCAGAUGCACUCUUUCUCCUAGUGGUAAAAAUAUAAAUACGAUACUCUAGAUAACCUCCCGGGUGAAGUGCUCACCGAUAUCCGUGCGCUUGCGGAUCAAUUCUUUAUUGCGUUCCCAAAUAUCAACACGUAUUCAGUAAAUAGAUUUGCGGAGAAAAAAAGUACGACAAGAAAAGGGGUGUAACACCCAAAAUGUGAAUUUCAAUUAAUAGGAAUUAAUUUGAUUUAUUUGAGUAGUUUUGUGGGCAUUUGAAUUUAGCAAACAAAUAAUUUUGUGAAGAUUAAAAACUCAUUAUAAGCUUAGAAACUUGAUCCUGCAUUCAUGCUGGAGCAUAGUAUUUUUUUGUGUAUUGUUCCUGUUUUUAUUUUAUUUAUUUGUGCACAAAAUUAUAUUUGGAAAAUGUCUUGGAAAAAGAAAACAGAAAAAAAGAAAAAGAAAAAGGGGAAACUCCCUGGAGCCAGGCCGCAGCCCAGCUAACCCCCCCCGCGCCUCCUCCACCUCCGGCCUGCUUGCGCGGCCCACCAGGCGCCAGGCCAACCUGCGCGCCUUCCCUCUCUCUCUGUGUGGAUGACGAGCGGGCCCCACGCAUCAGCGCUUUCCUUUUCUUCUCCAGCGCGCCACCGAGCCGAGGCCAAUGGAAACUCCGAUUCGAUUCCGUGGAACCGAGAUUUUCUUGCCAUUUUCAUCAACCGAGCCCCUUUAAAGCACCCCGCGAUGCCCCGCGUCGUGUUUUUGCACCAAAGUCGCGAAACCGAGCCCUAGCCGCUGUCUUCUACGAGUUUUGGAUCUCGCCGAACACCUUCACCGCGACCCGGCCUCUGUGCUUGUCUUCGGUCCGUGAUAAUCCCCUAGGUGAGCUCGCCACGUGCUCCUCUACCUCUUCAUGCUCUUGGUUUCUUUUCUGGUGCUCAGAAACGCGGUAUCGGCGAGCUCCAGCGAGCUCUGCGGCGUCGGCCAUGGUGUCCGCCGUGGAGGGCUCGCCGCCGGCCGGCCGGAUCCCUCCCCGAGUCCUCCCAGCCGUCCAGAUCUCGAUCAACGCUCAAGAUUAGAACUUACCCCUUUUGGGUCAUUUUUGUUAAAGAGACCCCCAAGAUCUUUGAAAACAACCCGCGGUCCCUUUGCGCAUUUCCGAUUUACGCUUUCACUUUCUAAAAGCGUAUUCUGGUUCGGGUUGGGUAAAAAUACGUUUCUUGUUAUUUACAAUUUUGCCAGUGAAAUGGAAUUGGUCAUAAAAUAUUUAUUUUAACUCCGUUUUUGCCCAUUCAAAUUUCGUUAGAUCCGUAAUUACAUGAUCUACAUGAUAGAAAUAUUAGUUUACUAUUUUGAAACUUUUUAAUUUCCUGGUACUAUUUAUUUAAUUAUUUCUCUAUAGGAAAUCUUAGAAAAUUCAUAUCUUUCUCGUUUUAAUUCUGAUUUUCGUGAACUUUACAUUUGUGUGAUCGUAGCGCUGCGUAGAAUAUUUUCAUAAACUUUUAUUUUUGUUUUACCACUGUUUGGUGUAAUGUUCUAAUUAUAUCUUGUUUGCUUUGUGUAUGAUUGCCUCCAUUGGAUUGCGUGUUGUUGAUUGAUGUUUGGGAAUAGACGGUGAGCCGUACGUUGGUGAUCAAGACCAAGCUUUUGAAGACCAGCAGGCUCAGGAGAGCUUUUAGCAAGGCAAGUAUAACUUGGGAUCAUCCUUGUUACCUAUUCACUUAAGUACACAUAUAUAUCAUAUGCAUGCUUUCACCUUGUCGACCUUAGCAAAAUCAUAGAUGAUUGUUAUCUGGAUUCCUUGCUACCUACUUGAUAUGCAUUUGGUGUAGAUAUGCUAGUGCUUGAUAUAACCCAUGAUCUUGUAAGAUGAUUAAUAACUAUGUAAUGAACGUUAAAAGAUGACAAAUAACUAUAUGAGAUCUUGUUUGUAAGUGAUCACCGGGACAACAGUGCAACCAUGAGGGCUAUAAUGGCUCUGGCUUUAGCUUAGUAUGAAGACCUUUUCUAGCUUGUUAGAGGUUACCCGAAAGGGCGGAGGGGCUGAACCGACACGGGUAUAGUGCGAGCCCUUGUCCCUAUGUGUAUAGGCUGCGCGUCAUUGUGCCAUUCGGAAGGGGGGUAUCUAUAUCUGCUCGCAAAGGAAACCUUGCGGCCCUAACAUGUUAGACGAACUUUUGAAAGGCUUCAUAGUGAUCCCUGCCGACCUACCUAGGAAGGGGGUUAAGAGAUUAGCUACAUCGGGCGAAAGGGUAAAUCAUGACUCAUGGGUAAAGAUGUACAACCUCUGCAGAGUUUAAAACUGGUAUACUAGCCGUGCUCACGGUUAUGAGCGGCCUUGGGGGUUCUUGCUGCGCCGACGAUGAGCUUAUUAAGUUGUUAUGUUCAUUUGAUUAUCGUUUAUGCUAUGAAUUAAUUAUGCUUACACUUGAUCAUGGGAUUAAUGGAUUAUUUUUGCUACCCUGAUAUUUGCUAUUUAAUUAUGAAUAUGCUAUCCACCAUUAAAAGCUAAAUGCAGUCAAACCAGUGUCAGCUAUUUGAGCCUCAUGAAUCCCUGGUUAUACUUGUUGAGUACGAUAUGUGCUCACUCUUGCAAUUUCCCCACACCUCAGGAUAUGAUAAUGAAGAUGACUGGAAUAAGGAUUACCGUUAUGAGUACUAGGUUUGAAGAUAACCAGUCAAUAGUGUCCCUGUGUGGAGCUUCCGUCGAGAGCGUUGUUUGCUUUAUGCUAUCAUUUUUGUAUGAGACUAUGUGAUAUAUUUUAUAUUCCGCUAUGUAAUAAACACUGCAAUGGUACAUUUGAGAUUUGUCUACUUAUGUGUGCGACUGUUUCUGGGGCACAUAUGAGUCUUUUAUGCAUCCUAUUUUGUUCUUAAAAUAUGGGUGUGACAAACUGGUAUCAAAGCUUUGUUGACUGUAGGACGCAAACCUAGUUAGCCAUGGUCAAAAAUUUAGGUCCUUUAUUUUACUUACUUCAUGUUUCCCACUAUGGUCUUGUUAUUUGCUAAAAUUUUAUGCUUCUCUAUCUUGCUCUAUUGUGAAAUUAUUGCAUCCAUCUGAUCGAUGUCUAAAAACUUUUUGUAGAUGCCGCCCCGUACCCGUAAUGCUGCACGUAUGGCUGCUGAGGAGUACCGUGCCAUGUUCAAUCCAAGAGGACAGCAUGUGGACGGAGUUCCUGAGCCUGAAGAUGAGGAAUCAAGGGUGGAAGCUCAGCAGAAAGUGCCUGAAGAUGAGGAGAUGCAAGAUCCACCUCCACCACAGUCUGCUAAUGCAAGGAUGGGAUGGACUACUGAGCUGUGGAUUCCAGAAGCAGAUCCCAAGGCUUUCUUCCAUGAGAAUUUGGUGUUGACAUUGGAACACCAGUACCCGGAUUUGCAAGCCACACUGGAGUACAACUGCACUGAGCACAAACACCCUUUGAGGAGAUCACUUUGGGUUGCAGAGCUGAUAGUCAAGACACUGGAUGCCACUAAGGGGAUUCGAAAGGUGGAAUCAAAACACAUCGCUCGAAUCAGCCGGGACACGAUGAAGGAAAGCAUGGCAGAUGCAGCUUACCAGGCCUUGAUCUUUUACCGGGGUAGACGCUUUGAGGAUGUUCAAUACAAUGCAACAUAUCACUAUCCUCGCUUUGUACCAGAGUAGAUGACUUGGGCCAUAGAAGUUGUAGAUGCUUCACAACCAAAGCUUCAAGCACAAGUGGAGUUGACUUAUGAGCUGACCGUCAAGGUAAUAGAGUUGGAGAAUGAACUGCACCGUGAGAGGAAGCUGCUGGAGAAAGAGCAAAGGGAAGCAGAUGACCUUCAAGCGGAGUUAGGCCGUCCCAAGCUUCAUAAGAGGCUGUGUGUUGAACCUAUCUUGAAGGAUGCUGCUCCCGAGGAAUAGAAAAGAACCCAUAUGUAAUAGGAACGUUAUUAGUUUGCGAGUUAUUUCGAGUCUUUUGUUAGUGUGGUGUGAACUUGGUGUGCUUGCUGGAUUGUUAUUAUGAAUAUGUGUGAUUUGGAUUUUUGUAAUGAGUGCUGGGACUUUGUGGGCAUGUCCACAAGUUCCCUAGUUAAGAACCUUAAGUAAGAACAAGAAUAAAUAGUGGUUUGGGGUCAUAUCCUGUUUCUGUCUUUUGCUGUUUUUCUGGAGCAGUCUACAAUGAUUCUGGUAUAAAUCAAAUUCUGUUCGUGCAAUGUUCAUCAAAUUUUUCUGGGAACAUGUAGACUUUCAUAUGUUUCCAAAGCCGCAAGAAUGACCAUAUUAUCUAUUAUGAGCUGUGAGUUAUGACUGUUUAAAGUUGAGGUUUCUGCGCAGUCUGGAAUUUUGGAACAGUUUUGGUUGUACACAGUUUUUGAUUAACCUAACAUUGGAAUCUGGUAAUAUGAUCUAAAUGAAAGUUGUAGACAAUAUCUUUAUAUUUCCAACGGUGUACAGAAUGUAUCCUUUUGAUUUCUGGAACUCGAGAUAUGACUGACUUUCUGAUCUGCUUUUGUUGGAUGUUACCUAGAAAAUUUCAGAUUCCGUUAACUCUUGUAAUUGUCAUGUUGGACAUUACUAAGUUGUGUUUAUAUACCUUGGAAUGCAGAUGGCAGCAAGGGGAAGAGGCAGAGGCAGAGGCCGUGGCAAUGGCAAUGGUGGCAAUGGCCCAAUCAUUGUGGAGGAACUCAUGCAAACCCAAAAUGAGAUGAUGCACGUCUUCAUGCAGCACUUGCAGCAACAACCUCCACCAACACCACCACCUGUUCAUGUGAGGGAUAAGCGUGGGGAGUUUACGAAGGGAAGACCUCCGGUAUUUACACACUCAGCUGAUCCCAUGGAGGCAUAUGAUUGGUUACAUGCCGUGGAGAGGCAACUGAACAUAGCACAGUGCAAUGACUUGGAGAAGGUGUUGUAUGCUUCUGGACAGCUUCAGGGGGCAGCUCAGACAUGGUGGGAGUCAUAUCAAGCUGCUCAUCCCAACAACGCUCCUCGUGUCACAUGGUUGGAAUUCUAUAGAGAUUUUAGAAAUCGACAUAUAAAUGAGGGAAUGAUGGAGCUCAAGCAAAAAGAAUUCAGAUCACUCAGGAUGGGCUCCAUGACAGUGGCAGAAUAUCAUGACACUUUUGAAGAGUUGGCACGCUAUGCUCCGAACGAUGUCAGGGAAGAUGCUGAUAAGCAGCGUCUAUUCAUGAAAGGUCUUUACUACGAGCUCAGGUUGCAGUUGGCUGAAAACACCUAUCCUACCUUACAAGCUCUUGUGAAUCGUGCCAUUGUGCUUGAUAAUAUGCGGAAGAGUCAGGAUAAGAAGAGAAGGAUGCUGGUACAAGGUUCUGGGAGCAACAACCGUCAGCGUUUCAGUUCCCAUCAAGGUCAUCAGCAGAGGUUCCAGGGAUCAGUUAGUCAGUGGAACCGCAACCAGCAACCCCAGCGUUUCCAAAAUCAAUCACAGAGUGGGAACCAACGUCCACCAUUCCAGCAACGUAACUAUAAUCAACAGCAGCAUGGUCAACAGACACCUCGCUCAGGGAACUCAAAUGCCAUCUCCACAAAAAGAAGUGCUUCUAACACUCCUACCAGGUGUUUCCUUUGUGGAAAGGAAGGACAUAUGUCCUAUGAUUGCCCAGAGAAGUUUAAUCCGCAGUACAACGACCGGAGAUCCACUCCUAAUUCAGCAAAGGUGAACAACGUGGCAGCGGAAACUGCUCAGGAGGGACCAGAAAUCAUGAUGGGUACGUUCAGUAUCAACUCUAUCCCUGCUACAGUUUUAUUUGAUUCUGGAGCUUCACAUACAUUCAUAUCACAAGCAUUUGUUAGAAUUCAUAGCAUUCCACUAGUUGCAAUGAAAACACCUAUGCUAGUUAAUUCACCGGGUGGGACUAUACCAGUUUCUUUAUGUUGCCCCUCAGCAAGUUUUUCUUUAAGGGGGGUAGAUUUUCCUAUCAGUCCCAUGGUUAUGAGAACUUCAGGCACAGAUGUGAUCUUGGGUUUGGAUUGGAUGAAGCAACAUGAGACAAAUAUUAACUGCAAAGAGAGAGUAGUGGCUCUGACAAAACCAAAGGGGGAACGAAUCAGUGUUGAUGUAACAGUGCAAGCACCACUCGCAGCCAAAGUGAACCAACUAAAUGAAGAUGUUGAUCCUCAGAAUUUGGUAGUGGAUGAGUUUCUGGAUGUCUUUCCAGAUGAAUUGCCAGGUAUGCCGCCUGACCGAGACAUUGAAUUUAUUAUUGAAUUACUACCUGGUACUGCACCCAUAGCUAAAAGACCAUAUAGAAUGGGGGUUAAUGAACUAGAAGAACUUAAGAAACAAAUUAAGGAAUUGCAAGAUAAAGGGUUCAUUCGUCCUAGUUCAUCACCAUGGGGUGCACCAGUUAUCUUUGUUGAUAAGAAGGAUGGUAGUCAGAGGAUGUGCGUUGAUUAUCGGUCACUUAAUGAGGUCACUAUCAAGAAUAAAUAUCCCUUGCCUAGGAUUGAUGACUUGUUUGAUCAGUUAAGAGGUGCUUGUGUGUUCUCUAAGAUUGAUUUGCAUUCGGGUUAUCAUCAAUUGAAGAUCCAGAAUUCAGAUAUACCAAAGACAACUUUCACAACAAGGUAUGGGUUAUAUGAGUACACAGUUAUGUCUUUUGGUUUGACCAAUGCACCAGCUUACUUUAUGUACAUGAUGAAUAAAGUAUUUAUGGAGUAUCUUGAUAAGUUUGUGGUAGUCUUUAUUGAUGAUAUUCUAGUAUUCUCUAAAACCAAGGAAGAACAUGCUGAACAUCUGAGAUUGGUCUUACAGAAACUUAGAGAACAUAAGCUGUAUGCCAAGCGUAGCAAAUGUGAGUUUUGGUUGGAAGAAGUUUCUUUUCUUGGUCAUGUUGUCUCUAAUGGUGGUAUUGCAGUGGAUCCGAGUAAGGUGAAAGAUGUGCUGAAUUGGAAACCACCUACAGAUGUAAGUAAAAUUCGCAGUUUUCUUGGUUUAGCUAGUUACUAUCGUAGAUUCAUUGAAGGGUUCUCAAAACUUGCAAAGCCUAUGACUGCUCUAUUGGAGAAGAAUGCUAAGUUUGUAUGGUUGGAUAACUGCCAAGCUAGUUUUGAGGAAUUCAAGAACAGAUUGACUACUGCACCUGUGUUGAUAUUGCUAGAUCUGAGUAAGAGUUUCUCUAUCUAUUGUGAUGCUUCUCGUCUGGGUUUGGGUUGUGUUCUUAUGCAAGAAGGUAGAGUUGUUGCCUAUGCAUCUAGACAGUUGAGGAAGCAUGAACUGAACUAUCCUACUCAUGAUCUAGAGUUAGCAGCUGUGGUUCAUGCAUUGAAGAUUUGGAGACACUAUUUGAUUGGGCAUAAGAGUGACAUAUACACGGAUCAUAAGAGUCUAAAGUAUAUCUUCACUCAGACAGACCUGAAUUUGAGGCAACGAAGAUGGUUGGAACUGAUAAAGGACUAUGAUCUGGAAGUGCAUUAUCAUCCUGGAAAGGCGAACGUCGUAGCUGAUGCACUUAGCAGAAAGAAAUAUGCUAAUGAGCUUCGGGCGACACCUGAAUCUGAGGAGUUGUGUGCUGAAUUUGCAUACUUGAACUUCGGAAUUGUAGUGAAUGCUAUGGAAAUUGAAGUCACUCCUACUCUAGAGGAAGAGAUAUUGAAAGGACAACUAGAGGAUGAGAAACUAAAGGAGAUAGCACAGAAUGUGGUACUAGGCAAAGCACCAGGAUUCAGAAUAGAUGACAAUGGUGUACUGUGGUUUGGAAAAAGGAUAUGUGUUCCUGAAGUGAAGGCUAUUCGUGAUAUGAUUCUAAGAGAGGCUCAUGAGUCAGCAUAUUCCAUUCAUCCUGGUAGCACUAAGAUGUAUCUAGAUCUGAAGCAGAAGUACUGGUGGUAUGGUUUAAAGAGAGAUGUAGCUGAGUAUGUUGCUUUGUGUGAUACUUGUCAGCGAGUGAAAGCUGAACAUCAGAGACCAGCUUUACUAUUGCAACCAAUGAAGAUUCCAGAAUGGAAGUGGGAAGAAGUGGGUAUGGAUUUUAUAGUGGGGUUACCACGUACACAAAGAGGGUAUGACUCAAUAUGAGUGAUAGUGGAUCGUUUAACCAAAGUUGCUAAUUUCAUACCUGUCAAAACUUCAUAUAGUGGAGACCCACUGGCAGAGUUAUACAUGGAAAGAAUUGUUUGUUUGCAUGGAGUACCUAAGAAGAUUGUGUCAGAUAGGGGUACUCAAUUCACAUCUCACUUUUGGAAAGCGGUGCAUGAUUCAUUGGGAACAAAGUUGAAUUUCAGUACAGCGUAUCAUCCACAGACAGAUGGACAGACUGAGAGGAUUAAUCAGAUAUUGGAGGAUAUGUUGAGAGCUUGUGCUUUGCAGUAUGGGACUAGGUGGGACAAGAGUUUGCCAUAUGCAGAAUUCUCCUACAACAAUAGCUAUCAGCAAAGUCUUAAGAUGGCACCGUUCGAGGCACUGUAUGGACGUAAGUGCAGGACACCUUUGUUUUGGAAUCAGACAGGAGAAACACAGGUGUUUGGUACAGAUAGACAUGCAGAGCAACAGGUGCGGACUAUUCGGGAUAACUUGAGAGUUGCUCAGUCUCGUCAGAAAAGCUAUGCAGACACACGUAGGAGAGAGCUGGUUUUUCAAGCAGGUGAUUAUGUCUACCUAAAAGUAUCACCAAUGAGGAGUGUGAAGAGGUUUAAUAUGAAGGGAAAGUUAGCUCCAAGGUAUGUUGGUUCAUUUAAAAUAUUAGAACGGCGUGGAGAAGUAGCAUAUCAGUUAGAAUUGCCUGAAAGCUUAUCUGGUGUGCAUGAUGUGUUCCAUGUGUCACAACUUAAGAAGUGUUUGCGUGUACCUGAGGAGCAAAUACCAUUGGAAGAGCUUUCUGUAAAAGGUGAUCUCACCUACGAAGAGUAUCCGGUCAGAAUAUUGGAGACAGCUGAGAGAGUCACCAGAAGUCGGGUCAUUAGAAUGUGCAAAGUGCAGUGGAAUCGGUAUUCGGAAGCAGAGGUAACUUGGGAAAGAGAGGAUGAUCUAAGGAAAUCAUACUCAUACCUGUUCGAGUAAGCACCGUUCAAUCUCGAGGACGAGAUUCUUUUAAGGGGGUAGAGUUUGUAACACCCAAAAUGUGAAUUUCAAUUAAUAGGAAUUAAUUUGAUUUAUUUGAGUAUUUUUCUGGGCAUUUGAAUUUAGCAAACAAAUAAUUUUGUGAAGAUUAAAAACUCAUCAUAAGCUUAGAAACUUGAUCUUGCAUUCAUGCUGGAGCAUAUUAUUUUUUUGUGUAUUGUUCCUGUUUUUAUUUUAUUUAUUUGUGCACAAAAUUAUAUUUGGAAAAUGUCUUGGAAAAAGAAAACAGAAAAAAAAAGAAAAAUAAAAAGAGGAAACUCCCUGGAGCCAGGCUGCAGCCCAGCUAACCCCCCCCGCACCUCCUCCACCUCCGGCCUGCUUGCGCGGCCCACCAGGCGCCAGGCCAACCCGCGCGCCUUCCCUCUCUCUGUGUGUGGAUGACGAGCGGGCCCCGUUCCCUUCUCCCACAGCCAGCCGGGCCCCGCGCGUCAGCGCUUUCCUUUUUUUCUCCAGCGCGCCACCGAGCCGAGGCCAAUGGAAACUCCGAUUCGAUUCCGUGGAACCGAGAUUUUCUUGCCAUUUUCAUCAACCGAGCCCCUUUAAAGCACCCCGCGAUGCCCCGCGUCGUGUUUUUGCACCAAAGUCGCGAAACCGAGCCCUAGCCGCAGUCUUCUACGAGUUUUGGAUCUCGCCGAACACCUUCACCGCAACCCGGCCUCUGUGCUUGUCUUCGGUCCGUGAUAAUCCCCUAGGUGAGCUCGCCACGUGCUCCUCUACCUCUUCAUGCUCUUGGUUUCUUUUCUGGUGCUCAGAAACGCGGUAUCGGCGAGCUCCAGCAAGCUCUGCGGCGUCGGCCAUGGCGUCCGCCGUGGAGGGCUCACCGCCGGCCGGCCGGAUCCCUCCCCGAGUCCUCCCAGCCGUCCAGAUCUUGAUCAAUGCUCAAGAUUAGAACUUACCCCUUUGGGGUCAUUUUUGUUAAAGAGACCCCCAAGAUCUUUGAAAACAACCCGCGGUCCCUUUGCGCAUUUCCGAUUUACGCUUUCACUUUCUAAAAGCGUAUUCUGGUUCGGGUUGGGUAAAAAUACGUUUCUUGUUAUUUACAAUUUUGCCACUGAAAUGGAAUUGGUCAUAAAAUAUUCAUUUUAACUCUGUUUUUGCCCAUUCAAAUUUCAUUAGAUCCGUAAUUACAUGAUCUACAUGAUAGAAAUAUUAGUUUACUGUUUUGAAACUUUUUAAUUUUCUGGUACUAUUUAUUUAAUUAUUUCUCUAUAGGAAAUCUUAGAAAAUUCAUAUCUUUCUCGUUUUAAUUCCGAUUUUCGUGAACUUUACGUUUGUGUCAUCGUAGCGCUGCGUAGAAUAUUUUCAUAAACUUUUAUCUUUGUUUUACCACUGUUUGGUGUAAUGUUCUAAUUAUAUCUUGUUUGCUUUGUGUAUGAUUGUCUCCAUUGGAUUGCGUGUUGUUGAUUGAUGUUUGGGAAUAGACGGUGAGCCGUACGUUGGUGAUCAAGACCAAGCUUUUAAAGACCAGCAGGCUCAGGAGAGCUUUUAGCAAGGCAAGUAUAACUUGGGAUCAUCUUUGUUACCUAUUCACUUAAGUACACAUAUAUAUCAUAUGCAUGCUUUCACCUUGUCGACCAUAGCAAAAUCAUAGAUGAUUGUUAUCUGGAUUCCUUGCUACCUACUUGAUAUGCAUUUGGUGUAGAUGUGCUAGUGCUUGAUAUAAUCUAUGAUCUUGUAAGAUGAUUAAUAGCUAUGCAAUGAACGUUAAAAGAUGACAAAUAACUAUAUGAGAUCUUGUCUGUAAGUGAUCACCGGGACAACAGUGCAACCAUGAGGGCUAUAAUGGCUCUGGCUUUAGCUCAGUAUGAAGACCUUUUCUAGCUUGUUAGAGGUUACCCGAAAGGGCGGAGGGGCUGUACCGACACGGGUAUAGUGCGAGCCCCUGUCCCUAUGUGUAUAGGUUGUGCGUCAUUGUACCAUUCGGAAGGGGGGUAUCUAUAUCUGCUCGCAAAGGAAACCUUGCGGCCCUAACAUGUUAGACGAACUUUUGAAAGGCUUCAUAGUGAUCCCUGUCGACCUACCUAGGAAGGGGGUUAAGAGAUUAGCUACCUCGGGCGAAAGGGUAAAUCAUGACUCGUGGGUAAAGAUGUACAACCUCUGCAGAGUGUAAAACUGGUAUACUAGCCGUGCUCACGGUUAUGAGCGGCCUUGGGGGUUAUUGCUGCGCCGACGAUGAGCUUAUUAAGUUGUUAUGUUCAUUUGAUUAUCGUUUAUGCUAUGAAAUAAUUAUGCUUACACUUGAUCGUGGGAUUAAUGGAUUAUUUAUGCUACCUUGACAUUUGCUAUUUAAUUAUGAAUAUGCUAUCCACGAUUAAAAGCUAAAUGCAGUCAAACCAGUGUCAGCUAUUUGAGCCUCAUGAACCCCUAGUUAUACUUGUUGAGUACGAUAUGUGCUCACUCUUGCAAUUUCCCCACACCUCAGGAUAUGAUAAUGAAGAUGACUGGAAUGAGGAUUACCGUUAUGAGUACUAGGUUUGAAGUCAACCAGUCAACAGUGUCCCUGUGUGGAGCUUUCGUCGAGAGCGUUGUUUGCUUUAUGCUAUCAUUUUGGUAUGAGACUAUGUGAUAUAUUUUAUAUUCUGCUAUGUAAUAAACACUGCAAUGGUACAUUUGAGAUUUGUCUACUUAUGUGUGCGACUGUUUCUGGGGCACAUAUGAGUCUUUUAUGCAUCCUAUUUUGUUCUUAAAAUAUGGGUGUGACAAGGGGAGAUGAAAAGAGUUGACCUCAGGGACAGUGAAGUUGAUGGCCAUUUUUCUUCCCGGGGAGGAAGAGGAUCGAUGACUCGAAGAACUGCUGGGGCUCUCUGGAGUUCUUGGGCUCCUCGAACAGUGCCGCCGCCAGGAAGAUGGGUCUGGUGGAUAUAGAAUGACAAGGUGGAGGAAGAGUGCCGUAGAAGGAAGUAUUUACAGGACGAAGAAGGCAAGGGCAAUUCUGACUUAUCUCUUCACUGUAUCCGUGAAAUCCGAGGGUGUUCAGUGUUGACGGUCCUUAAGUACUAAAAUUAAUAAUCAGAUAAACAUGGAAAAGGAUCAAUAUGAAACAAACAUCUAGAAUUAGGGUUUUAUCUGACAGAAUUCCACAAGCUUUGGUGUUUUUCUAUUUCUGUAGGGGGUUAUCAGAGAAUAUGGAGAAAAGGCCCACAUGUCAUGUUUACAACGAGAUAAUUACGUGCCGCGCAAUUUUCCUCAAUCUAGAAGAGUCCAGAAGCCACGGGAACGAACGAGAGCACGAUCGGGCUCGGGGGUAGGGCAGCCGCCCACCCCCCUUGGGCGCCCGCCCAGGGAAGGAGUCCAAUCGGGACUCUGCUUCGGGACUACGCUCCACCGACCUAAAGGAUCAAUCUAAACCACACAAUCAAUGUCAGUUUGAUAUGACGGCCCACAUUCACUUGAAAAGACUAUAUAACCAAGGCCUCCCCCCUGGAGGAGAGAGGAGAAGAGAAGAAAUCAUUAUGCAGAGGUAGCCAUCAAAGUUAGGGUUUAGAGCUUCUCUCCCAUAGAGAAUUAGAAUUAGCUACUCCCUAAUCCUUCAAGUUUAGAGGUUUGAUUAGAUAGCAAUUAGAGAAGUAGAGCACUACGCUCUGGAUUCGGAUCUUCGGUAAUAAAGAUUGGUAUUAUUCAUAUCUUUCUCUAAUUCUUUGUUCUAAUUGCAUUAUGUCUCUAAUUAUUAUGUUCUUAGUUUGCUCUAGUUCUAUAUUUGAUAUAGUUCUAAUUGAUAAUGAGUUUAUGUAUAAGUUUGCAAAGCGCUUAGCUCUUGACGCAAGGGAGUUAGGUGAUAGAUCACAUGUGAGCAUGGUGCUUAGAUGUUAUUUACCUGCAAAUGUAUCCUAUUGACCGGGUUGUGUGGUAGAUCGCGAUAGUGACAGCUUCGUUGAUUCUUAUAUAGUCCACCCUCCAUUGAUAGGACAGGCAUCCUUCAAGUUUAGAGGUUUGAUUAGAUAGCAAUUAGAGAAGUAGAGCACUACGCUCUGGAUUCGGAUCUUCGGUAAUAAAGAUUGGUAUUAUUCAUAUCUUUCUCUAAUUCUUUGUUCUAAUUGCAUUAUGUCUCUAAUUAUUAUGUUCUUAGUUUGCUCUAGUUCUAUAUUUGAUAUAGUUCUAAUUGAUAAUGAGUUUAUGUAUAAGUUUGCAAAGCGCUUAGCUCUUGACGCAAGGGAGUUAGGUGAUAGAUCACAUGUGAGCGUGGUGCUUAGAUGUUAUUUAUCUGCAAAUGUAUCCUAUUGACCGGGUUGUGUGGUAGUUCGCGAUAGUGACAGCUUCGUUGAUUCUUAUAUAGUCCACCCUCCGUUGAUAGGACAGGCAGAACCGGUAUUGUGGAGUAAGUCAUGCGAUGCUCUGAUUUACUUUAUCAAUGUUCCUUAUACAUGAAUGAAGAGUCUUUUAUGCUAUAUAUGAUCUUGUAGAUAACUAGAGUAGAUUAUGACUUAGUAGUUAGUAGAUAACUUAGAAUCCAUUCUCUAGCUAAUCCGACAUCACCUACAUAUAUGAGGAGUAGUCUAUUUUCUAAUCGCUGUGUUAUCUACCCAUGAACUUAUAAUUCGUUAUCAUUAUCUUUAUGGUUUACCCCCUGCUAAAGUAAGUGACUGUGUGAUGAGUUUCUCAUUAGUAAUCAUGUUCUUGCAAGUUUGUCUCUAGUCUAUGCCUUGAUAGAUUUUGCCCCUUACUUUAAUUUCAUCCCUUGAGCAAAAUUAUAAAUAACGAUACCUAGAAUACUUAUCCUGGUGAAAUGCUACAAUGAGGUGUUUUAUCUGUGCGCUUGCGGAUAGAAUAGAUAAUUUUAGAGAGCCUUUACAUUUAUAAAUACCUUUGUACACUCUGGCACCAUGCUGGGGAUGACAACCUAGUGUCUAAGUGGUGUUAGCUAGUGUGAACAAGCAUUUCUGGCGCCGUUGCCGGGGAAUCUCAUGAAUAAGUCAUAAAGGGGAACAAAAGGGUAAUACUUAGGAAAGCCAGAAAAUCAGUCAAGGUUAUUCAUAUAAAAUAUUAGACUAGACUAUAGAGAAAUAAUUCCAUAAAAAUAGCUACUAAGUGAGAAAUCAUAACAAGGCACCUCUGCUUUGGCAGGUUCACCCUGUUGUUUUUCUAUGUUUAUAUUUUUAUACAGGGUAUAUCAGGAUUGACUUUGGGUACAUUCAACUCUUCAUCAUUAGAACCAAAGCAAUAAAGAGAAGAAGAAGCUAGCUACCAAUUGCUGAAGCUAUGGCACAGAAGACCCUACAAGAAUUCUCUGCUCCAAGCCUUGAGAACAUUCCAACUGGUCCAAGAUUUGCAGUAGAAAAAGGAGUACCUGAGUUUGAGCUCAAGUCAAGCCUCAUCAAUUUGGUGCAAGCUACACAAUUCAGUGGAAAGGCACAUGAAGAUGCCAGUGCACACUUGCAGAAUUUCUUAGAUAUUAGAAGCACAAUCCACAUCAACAGAGUUGACAAAGACGUCAUACUGCUUCGCCUUUUUCCAUUCUCACUAGAAGGGAAAGCGAGGAAGUGGUUCUACACUCAUCAAGAUAACAUCAACAACUGGACGAACUUGUGAGAUGCCUUUCUAUCAAAGUUUUUCCCUAUAGGCAAAACAACUGCCUUAAGAGGAAAUAUAGUCAGUUUCCAACAACAGAAGACAGAAGCCAUUUCAGAAGCAUGGGAGCGUUUUCAAGGAUACAUAUCAGAUUGUCCUCACCAUGGAAUGGCCACAUGGUUACUUAUGCAGACCUUCUACCAUGGAUUAACCUAGAAGGCUCGUGAGUGCCUAGAUGCAUCUGCUAAAGGAUCAUUCUUGGAGCUUACAACUGGAAAAGCAGAGAUACUUUUGGAUAAGAUAGCAGAAAAUCAAAGCUGGUUCGAAGAUAAAGCUCAACAAUGUCAUCAAACUGAAGAAAUAUCAGAAGAAGUAAAUGCAUUAUCAACUAAGAUGGAAAAUUUGCUCCAUUGGAUUGACCAGAGGGCCAAGUUCAAAGAAGAUAAAAGGGCCAUUGAGACAGCAUACAAAUAUCAACCAACUUCGAGUCAACCCAAUAGCAAAGGUAUGAAUUCAGGUAAUACUGUCAAGCAACUUUCAUUAAAAGAGAUAAUUGCUCAACAAACCAAAAUUAAUGAUGAAGUUAAACAAAGGCUAGAUACAAAUGAAUCAUCUCUAAAAGAUAUACACAAUAAAAUGGAUUUUCUACUAACUGCCUUUGAUGAGCAAAACACUCUUAAUAAAAGGGUAGAGCUUAAAUUAAUAAAGAUAGUUGCUGCACUGCCUGUUGCUACUAACAUUGAGCAGGUAAAGAAUAUAACUACUAGAGGAGACAAAGCUACCAGAGACCCCCCAUACCCAAAAGAGAAACAAAGAACAUCAGCACCAAUGCAACCAGCAGUGGUAGAAGAGGAAAGCCCAGUUGAAGCAGAAGAUCUGCUACAACCACCAAGAACUGGAGAAAUGAGGAAAGAUUUUUACGACACCAACUAUUUGCCAUUUCCCAGAAGAAACAGAGGACUGCAGUCGGAUGAGCAGUUUGGUAAGUUUGUAGAGGUCAUUCAGAAAUUAUAUGUCAACAUACCUCUGCUCGAUGCCAUACAGGUACCUACAUUUGCAAAGUACAUCAGAGAUAUUCUUAACAAGAAGAGACCACUGCCCACCACUGAGGUUAUCAAGCUGACAGAAGAAUGUAGUGCGGCCAUCCUAAAUAUACCACCAAAGAAGAAGGAAGAUCCACGAUGCCCCACUAUUGACUGCUCGAUCGGAAAACAACACUUCAACAAUGCACUUUGUGAUCAUAGAGCAAGUGUCAGUGUGAUGCCAGCAUCAGUCUACAAAAAGCUUGAGCAUGCAACCCUAGAACCAACAUCAAUGUGCCUGUUGACACUAGCUAACACCACUUAGAUACUAGGUUGUCAUCCCUAGCAUGGCGCUAGAGUGUACAAAGGUAUUUAUAAAUGUAAAGGCUCUCUAGAAAAUAAUCUAUUCUAUCCGCAAGCGCACAGAUAAAACACCUCAUUGUAGCAUUUCACCAGGAUAAGUAUUCUAAGUAUCGUUAUUUAUAAUUUUGCUCAAGGGAUGAAAUUAAAAUAAAAGGGGCAAAAUCUAUCAAGGCAUAGACUAGAGAUAAACUUGCAAGAACAUGAUUACUAAUGAGAAACUCGUCACACAGUCACUUACUUUAGCAGGGGGUAAACCAUAAAGAUAAUGAUAAUGAAUUAUAAGUUCAAGGGAUAAAUAACGCAGCGAUUAGAAAAUAGACUACUCCUCAUAUAUGUAGGUGAUGUCGGAUUAGCUAGAGAAUGGAUUGUAAGUUAUCUACUAACUACUAAGUCAUAAUCUACUCUAGUUAUCUACAAGAUCAUAUACAGCAUAAAAGACUCUUCAUUCAUGUAUAAGGAACAUUGAUAAAGUAAAUCAGAGCAUCGCAUGACUUACUCCACAAUACCGGUUCUGCCUGUCCUAUCAACGGAGGGUGGACUAUAUAAGAAUCAACGAAGCUGUCACUAUCGCGAACUACCACACGACCUGGCCAAUAGGAUACAUUUGCAGAUAAAUAACAUCUAAGCACCACGCCCACAUGUGAUCUAUCACUUAACUCCCUCGCGUCAAGAGCUAAACGCUUUGCAAACUUAUACAUAAACUCAUUAUCAAUUAGAACUAUAUCAAAUAUAGAACUAGAGCAAACUAAGAACAUAAUAAUUAGAGACAUAAUGCAAUUAGAACAAAGAAUUAGAGAAAGAUAUGAAUAAAACCAAUCUUUAUUACCGAAGAUCCGAAUCCAGAGCAUAGUGCUCUACUUCUCUAAUUGCUAUCUAAUCAUACCUCUAAACUUGAAGGAUUAGGGAGUAGCUAAUUCUAAUUCUUUGUGGGAGAGAAGCUUUAAACCCUAACUUUGAUGGCUACCUCUGCAUAAUGAUUUCUUCUUUUCUCCUCUCUUCCAGGGGGUAGGCCUUGGUUUUAUAGUCCCUUCAAGUGAAUGUAGGCCGUCAGAUCAAACCAACAUUGAUUGUGUGGUUUAGAUUGAUCCUUUAGGUCGGUGGAGCGUAGUCCCGAAGCAGAGUCCCGAUUGGGUUCCAACCCUGGGCGGGCGCCCAAGGGGGGUGGGCGGCCGCCCUGCCCCCGAGCCCGAUCGUGCUCUCGUUCGUUCCCGUGGCUUCUGGACUCUUCUAGAUUGAGGAAAAUUGCGCGGCACGUAAUUAUCUCAUUGUAAACAUGACAUGUGGGCCUUCUCUCCAUAUUCUCUGAUAACCCCCUGCAGAAAUAGAUAAACACCAAAGCUCGUGGAAUUCUGUCAGAUAAAACCCUAAUUCUAGAUGUUUGUUUCAUAUUGAUCCUUUUUCAUGUUUAUUUGAUUAUUAAUUUUAGUACU